rnacentral:rRNA from 1 species
GGCGGCGUGCUUAACACAUGCAAGUCGAGCGGAAAGGCCCCUUCGGGGGUACUCGAGCGGCGAACGGGUGAGUAACACGUGAGCAACCUGCCCCUGACUCUGGGAUAAGCCUGGGAAACUGGGUCUAAUACCGGAUAUGACCAGCCUCCGCAUGGUGUGUUGGUGGAAAGUUUUUCGGUUGGGGAUGGGCUCGCGGCCUAUCAGCUUGUUGGUGGGGUGAUGGCCUACCAAGGCGACGACGGGUAACCGGCCUGAGAGGGCGACCGGUCACACUGGGACUGAGACACGGCCCAGACUCCUACGGGAGGCAGCAGUGGGGAAUAUUGCGCAAUGGGCGGAAGCCUGACGCAGCGACGCCGCGUGGGGGAUGACGGCCUUCGGGUUGUAAACCUCUUUCAGCAGGGACGAAGCUUACGUGACGGUACCUGCAGAAGAAGCGCCGGCUAACUACGUGCCAGCAGCCGCGGUAAUACGUAGGGCGCAAGCGUUGUCCGGAAUUAUUGGGCGUAAAGAGCUCGUAGGCGGUUUGUCGCGUCUGUCGUGAAAGCCCACGGCUUAACCGUGGGUCUGCGGUGGAUACGGGCAGACUAGAGGCAGGUAGGGGAGAAUGGAAUUCCCGGUGUAGCGGUGAAAUGCGCAGAUAUCGGGAGGAACACCGGUGGCGAAGGCGGUUCUCUGGGCCUGUACUGACGCUGAGGAGCGAAAGCGUGGGGAGCGAACAGGAUUAGAUACCCUGGUAGUCCACGCCGUAAACGUUGGGCGCUAGGUGUGGGGUUCUUCCACGGAUUCCGCGCCGUAGCUAACGCAUUAAGCGCCCCGCCUGGGGAGUACGGCCGC